UCCUAAAUAGAGAUGGCUCUAUGUCAUAGGGUAGAGAUUAAAGAUGGCAUCUUCCAGGAGGCCAUAGGAGGGGAUAUGCACUUGAAACUCAGCAAUGCUUAUCUGUUCGUCCUCUAAUUAUUAUGCUGGUCUAGAACACAGACCUGGAAGACAAGGCUAAGAAAAUGGACAGACUCUAAACAGAUCAUAAAAGACCACGAGUGUAUUCCUUAGGACUGUGGACCUUCAUUUAUAGGAAUUUGGGGUUAAAGUUGAGAGCAAAACACAUCCAUGUGAAAAUCCUGUCCAAAGAAAAUUUGCUCUAAGACCUGAGGACACAUCUGCAUGUUUUGCAGCUUGCGGGAAAAGAGCCAGAGAAGAAGUGAGGAAAGGACAAGGAAGUAAGAAUAAAGCAUAUAGAAACAUUUCUCUCCCUUAAGAAAACAAGUGCGGAUACAUGGCAAAGUCC
rnacentral:lncRNA from 1 species